rnacentral:rRNA from 1 species
UCUAGGUGUUUGGGGGUGGCACCAGUCGGUAUACUUUGCAACUGCGAAUGGCUCAUUAAAUCAGUUAUCGUUUAUUUGAUAGUACCUUACUACUUGGAUAACCGUGGUAAUUCUAGAGCUAAUACAUGCUAAAAAUCCCGACCUCUGGAAGGGAUGUAUUUAUUAGAUAAAAAACCAAUGCCUUCGGGCUCCUUGGUGAUUCAUGAUAACUUAACGAAUCGCAUGGCCUUGCGCCGGCGAUGGUUCAUUCAAAUUUCUGCCCUAUCAACUUUCGAUGGUAGGAUAGUGGCCUACCAUGGUUUCAACGGGUAACGGGGAAUUAGGGUUCGAUUCCGGAGAGGGAGCCUGAGAAACGGCUACCACAUCCAAGGAAGGCAGCAGGCGCGCAAAUUACCCAAUCCCAAUCCGGGGAGGUAGUGACAAUAAAUACUGAUACAGGGCUCUUUUGGGUCUUGUAAUUGGAAUGAGUACAAUUUAAAUCCCUUAACGAGGAACAAUUGGAGGGCAAGUCUGGUCCCAGCAGCCAA